UACUAGCUCAGUGGCAGAGCACCUGUUUUGAAUGCAGAAGGUUCCUGGUUCAAUCCCCAGCAUCUCAA